GUACAGGCCCAAUCGGCAAUCGAGGGCAGCCGACAGCAGCGACCAACGCAACGCCUCGUCGCCUCGACCGACACCCACGGCGAACAGCGGAUGCUUCAUUAUUCUCUCCGCCUCUUUCGUUUCCCCAAUCUGAAGCUUCCGUUAAUGGCGACCGGAUCCAAUCUGACAAUCUCCUUUCCAGCCAUUUAGAUCAAUUAAAGGACGACCGUGCCUUAUUAGGUGGAUUGAAUCCAGCGAAUUCCUGCUUUGUUUUCAACGGCUUGAUUCCCUGAUAUCACGCCCAAGCUGCUCAUGGGCUUGAUCCCCUGAUAUCACGCCCAAGCUGCUCAUGGGCUUGAUCCCCUGAUAUCACGCCCAAGCUGCUCAUGGGCUUGAUCCCCUGAUAUCACGCCCAAGCUGUUCAUGUAGCUGUGAAGGGGAUUUCGUUCGCGGGGAGAUCGUAGCAGACCUGGAUCGGAGUAGACGAGCAGUCCAUUCGACAGCAAUCAGGUUCUUCUGCCACCAUUCUUUGGGUGUUCACUCUUCAGACUGCAGUUUGUAGGUACUUUUAAUCCAAUUUUUUGCCUUGGCUUUUGACGAGUAUACUAUUUUUUUGCUAAGAUGUCAUCUAGAAAUCAUGUAAUUUCCUUAUGUAAUUUGCAUUUCAUCUUUUGCAGUGUUGGGAUCAUAUAGUGAGAGUGUGUGUCAUAAUCUGUAAUCAACAAAGUAUUAUCUAUAUCGACUUUGUAAUAAAAAAAUGCAGGAUUAACUAUUUCAGUACAUAUUUUAUGUGCAUGGGGCCCCUCUCUUUGGUUUUGCACAGGGCCCCUGAUAUGACAGGGCGUCUCUACGACGCCGAACAUCCCCAAUGGGUGUUCAUCAAGUGCAAAAACGAUGAGGUGCAGUGGCGAAGCCACGUUAUACGUGUGUAGUGGCUUGACUAGACAGGAUUUUCGUACGUAGUUGAUCCAGGUAACAAUUGGUUGGGCCGCUAGCAAGAAGUCCGAAAUCCCUUAACUGCGUUGAUUCCCAAAUUACGUGAUCUCCUUCAACAUCCGGUACUAACUCAUGACCGUCCCAGCAGUCUGGCGAGCCGCGAGCGACGACGCACCCGCGGCUGCACACGCAUAGUGUGCGACAGCGCGAGAAUCAAUUGAUCAAUACGGUUGUACUAGUCACUACUCUAUCCGAUCCAACUUCAGGACGAGACCCUCCACUUCUAUUUAUAAGUUUUAUUAUUUAUUUAUCUGCUUCCCUUUAUCUUCCAUUUUUUUCUCUCACUAGCAAUAUUAGGAUUCAGGAAGCAAGAGAUUUUUUUUUUAUUAAGAAUAAGAAUUGCAUAUUUUGUUUUUCUUAUCUUGUCAGGUCUUUGGUUUGAUAAAUGGAUAAAUUCGUAAAGAAGUGGCAGUCCAAGCCAAAUGUUGCAAAUUCCUCACAACAAUCGCCUAAAAAUGGGGGAAGAACAAACUCCUAUUGAUGCUCACAACAUAUCAAAAGCCAAAACAAAGAACUCGAAGGCAAACAUUUAGUAACUAAACUUCACAUGGUGAUUUGAGAUCUGAAUUUCACAAAGCAUAACACCGACUGCAAGGCCCUAUGUCCAGUGGAGGGCAUUUCCUGUCCAAUAUAUCACCAGAACAUCGGUAACUAAUAGGAGUAGUAUCCAAUGUAAGGCACUCAAGUGAUGUUG